UACGGGGGGAGCAAGCGUUGUUCGGAUUUACUGGGCGUAAAGGGCUCGUAGGCGGCCAACUAAGUCAGACGUGAAAUCCCCAGGCUUAACCUGGGAACUGCGUCUGAUACUGGAUGGCUUGAAUUCGGGAGAGGGAUGCAGAAUUCCAGGUGUAGCGGUGAAAUGCGUAGAUAUCUGGAGGAAUACCGGUGGCGAAGGCGGCAUCCUGGACCGACAUUGACGCUGAGGCACGAAGGCCAGGGGAGCAAACGGG
rnacentral:rRNA from 1 species